AAAAAGGCCGGCGGCGUCUUGAUCACGCGGCGCCUCUCUACGCGCGUCGCCGCCGGUGUGCGCAGUGCCACGAUCGGCGCCCGGCGCUCUCCCUUGCGCCCGGUGCGGUGGCGACUCCAAGGAACCAAAGCGUCCGAGCUUGUAGGAUUAUUGAACUGGAAGAAUAUUUCAGAACUGGGCCUACUGGACGGACCUGAACCACUUGGCUCUAAAUUGGAGUGGACUUAGCCAACGAGUUGCGACAGGUCAAUCGGCAAGGAUAGAAAUAUUCUUUGUGCAGCUGUGCUGCAUUAGACAAGUCAUGGAUUUGGGUUCAGCCAUUUCCUUUGCCAACUGUAUAAGAUUCCUUAGAUUUAUAAAUUUUCUGGCUUAUUUGCAUCUAUAUGUUAUGUAAAGAAAAUGUCAUCAAUCUCUCAUCUGCAAUUUAUCAACAUGAAUAUUCUUUGUCUUGCA